rnacentral:rRNA from 1 species
UGCAGUCGANCGAUGAUCUGGUGCUUGCACUGGGGAUUAGUGGCGAACGGGUGAGUAACACGUGAGUAACCUGCCCUUGACUCUGGGAUAAGCCUGGGAAACUGGGUCUAAUACCGGAUAUGACUCCUCAUCGCAUGGUGGGGGGUGGAAAGCUUUUGUGGUUUUGGAUGGACUCGCGGCCUAUCAGCUUGUUGGUGGGGUAAUGGCCUACCAAGGCGACGACGGGUAGCCGGCCUGAGAGGGUGACCGGCCACACUGGGACUGAGACACGGCCCAGACUCCUACGGGAGGCAGCAGUGGGGAAUAUUGCACAAUGGGCGGAAGCCUGAUGCAGCGACGCCGCGUGAGGGAUGACGGCCUUCGGGUUGUAAACCUCUUUCAGUAGGGAAGAAGCGUAAGUGACGGUACCUGCAGAAGAAGCGCCGGCUAACUACGUGCCAGCAGCCGCGGUAAUACGUAGGGCGCAAGCGUUAUCCGGAAUUAUUGGGCGUAAAGAGCUCGUAGGCGGUUUGUCGCGUCUGCUGUGAAAGACCGGGGCUCAACUCCGGUUCUGCAGUGGGUACGGGCAGACUAGAGUGCAGUAGGGGAGACUGGAAUUCCUGGUGUAGCGGUGAAAUGCGCAGAUAUCAGGAGGAACACCGAUGGCGAAGGCAGGUCUCUGGGCUGUAACUGACGCUGAGGAGCGAAAGCAUGGGGAGCGAACAGGAUUAGAUACCCUGGUAGUCCAUGCCGUAAACGUUGGGCACUAGGUGUGGGGGACAUUCCACGUUUUCCGCGCCGUAGCUAACGCAUUAAGUGCCCCGCCUGGGGAGUACGGCCGCAAGGCUAAAACUCAAAGGAAUUGACGGGGGCCCGCACAAGCGGCGGAGCAUGCGGAUUAAUUCGAUGCAACGCGAAGAACCUUACCAAGGCUUGACAUGGACUGGAUCGCUGCAGAAAUGUGGUUUCCCCUUUUGGGGCUGGUUCACAGGUGGUGCAUGGUUGUCGUCAGCUCGUGUCGUGAGAUGUUGGGUUAAGUCCCGCAACGAGCGCAACCCUCGUUCUAUGUUGCCAGCGCGUUAUGGCGGGGACUCAUAGGAGACUGCCGGGGUCAACUCGGAGGAAGGUGGGGACGACGUCAAAUCAUCAUGCCCCUUAUGUCUUGGGCUUCACGCAUGCUACAAUGGCCGGUACAAAGGGUUGCGAUACUGUGAGGUGGAGCUAAUCCCAAAAAGCCGGUCUCAGUUCGGAUUGGGGUCUGCAACUCGACCCCAUGAAGUCGGAGUCGCUAGUAAUCGCAGAUCAGC